GCUCAGUCGGUUGAGCGUCCAACUCUUGAUUUCAGCUCAGGUCAUGAUCUCAGGGUUGUGGGAUCAAACCCCACAUUGGGCU
rnacentral:tRNA from 1 species